rnacentral:lncRNA from 1 species
CCGAUGAUUUUUGGGUGAUUUUUCGGUGACUUAUCAGCUUCUAGGGUCUGGUGGUUGAACCUAGGGUUUAGCUGCUAUCCGGUGGCUCGAUCCUCACUCAGUGGAUGUUUUGGGUGACUUUCCGACAUCCCUGACCAUAUUUCCAGUAAGGUUUUCGACGGUUGCACCUAGCUGGAAGUAAGCUCAGUUGAGUAAAUAGCAUUGUAGUUCUUCACUCGAACGUUCUGGGAGAUUUUCCGAUGAUUUUUGGGUGAUUUUUCGGUGACUUAUCAGCUUCUAGGUUUCUGGUGGUUGAACCUAGGGUUUAACUGCUAUCCGGUGGCUCGAUCUUCACUCAGUGGAUGUUUUGGGUGACUUUCCGACAUCCCUGACCAUAUUUCCAGUAAGGUUUUCGACGGUUGCACCUAAGGUUUUGUACCUAGGGUUUUCUCUGUUGAUUGAAGGCCGAUCUUCUCCGUUCGCGAAGA